rnacentral:rRNA from 1 species
UAAUACGAGAGGCCCAAACGUUAUUCGGAUUUACUGGGCUUAAAGAGUUCGUAGGCGGCGCAGAAAGUAGGGUGUGAAAGCCCUCGGCUCAACCGAGGAAUUGCGCUCUAAACUACUGUGCUCGAGGAACCUAGAGGUGAGCAGAACUGAUGGUGGAGCGGUGAAAUGCGUUGAUAUCAUCAGGAAUACCGGAGGCGAAGGCGGCUCACUGGGGGUUAUCUGACGCUGAGGAACGAAAGCCAGGGGAGCGAACGGGAUUAGAUACCCCGGUAGUCCUGGCCGUAAACGAUGAGCACUGGGCCGGAGGGCUGCACAGCCUUCCGGCCGUAGCGAAAGUGUUAAGUGCUCCGCCUGGGGAGUAUGGUCGCAAGGCUG